rnacentral:piRNA from 2 species
UUGAAGCAUAUGGAACAUAUUCUGCUACUU